rnacentral:rRNA from 1 species
AUUGAACGCUGGCGGCAGGCCUAACACAUGCAAGUCGAACGAGUGGCGGACGGGUGAGUAAUGUCUGGGAAACUGCCUGAUGGAGGGGGAUAACUACUGGAAACGGUAGCAAAUACCGCAUACCAUCGGAUGUGCCCAGAUGGGAUGAGCUAGUAUGGGGGGGAACGGCUCACCUGGGCGACGAUCACUAGCUGGUCUGAGAGGAUGACCGGCCACCCGGGAACGGAGACACGGGCCAGACUCCUACGUGAGGCAGCAGUGGGGAAUAUUGCACAAUGGGCGCAAGCCUGAUGCAGCCAUGCCGCGUGUAUGAAGAGGGCCUUCGGGUUGUAAAGUACUUUCAGCGGGGAGGCGUUACCCGCAGAAGAAGCACCGGCUAACUCCGUGCCAGCAGCCGCGGUAAUAC